rnacentral:rRNA from 1 species
UACGGGGGGGGCAAGCGUUGUUCGGGAAUUACUGGGCGUAAAGGGCUCGUAGGCGGCCAACUAAGUCAGACGUGAAAUCCCUAGGCUCAACCUAGGAACUGCGUCUGAUACUGGAUGGCUUGAAUCCGGGAGAGGGAUGCAGAAUUCCAGGUGUAGCGGUGAAAUGCGUAGAUAUCUGGAGGAAUACCGGUGGCGAAGGCGGCAUCCUGGACCGGCAUUGACGCUGAGGAGCGAAAGCCAGGGGAGCAAAGCGG